rnacentral:rRNA from 1 species
GAGAAUCGUAGCAGGAGGACUAUCAUCAGCGGAGGAGCAUAUCAAUAAGCGGAGGAGCAUAUCAAUAAGCGGAGGAGCAUAUCAAGCAGCGGAGGAGCAUAUCAAUACGCGGAGGAACAUAUCACUGUCUGAAUAAACAAACAAAAAAUCAAAACUUUCAACAAUGGAUCUCUUGGUUCUGGCAUCGAUGAAGAACGCAGCAAAAUGCGAUAAGUAGUGUGAAUUGCAGAAUUCAGUGAAUCAUCGAAUCUUUGAACGCACAUUGCGCCCUUUGGUAUUCCUUAGGGCAUGCCUGUUCGAGCGUCAUUUUCACCUUCAAGCACAGCUUGGUGUUGGGCGUCUGUCCUCUUGGACUCGCCUCAAAAAGAUUGGCAGCCACUUCAGCGGCUUUGAGCGCAGCAGAAUUGCGUCCUCUAGCAAGCGGAAGGCGGCAUCCAUAAGCUUCUUUCAAUUUUGACCUCGGAUCAGGUAGGGAUACCCGCUGAACUUAAGCAUAUCAAUAAGCGGAGGAAA